AACCCAGGACUUUGCAUUUCUCACACAGGUGCUGAGGGUGCUCCUUGCUCUGGUCUGACACGUCCAGCCCGUCAGGUUUCUCCAGUGGUCUCUGCACGGAGGACGACAAAGACAGCGCUCGCGUUGGCUUAAAUACCCCCAGGGUUAAACGUAUGGAAAAGAAAACUGAUCCGAGAUGGAUUUCAGGAACAUACACUUGGUCAGUGUUAUGGUCAUGCGAGCUGUGCUUCAUUGGGUAACUUCUGUGAUCUUGUUUGUAAAGAUAACGAUAGGGCACUUGUAUUCCCCAAAACAUCUCUUCUUCCCCUGGUAAGGGGUCAACCCUUCCCCCUUUGGCCGGGCCUACAAGUACCAAGAAAGAAUACAAAAUCAUGACAGAGAUUCUGCAACACUAAAGGCAAACACAUAGGAAGAAGAAAAAACAGUUUCUUUGGAGAAAGCUCUUUCCAUUCGAGCCAAGUUGCCUCCCUCCAGCUGUGCUCCCAGAGGACCAUAAAGGAGGCCCAGGACUGAGAAAGGACCAAUCAGAGAAGACUCUCCUCUACAGGACAAAUACCUCAGGCCCUCAGUCAUCCCUCCCAGUUGGCCCUCACCCACCAAUCAGGGAACAGAGAAGUAGAAAGGGGGGGGAGGAAAUCAAACCCAGAUGAACUCUACACUUGUAUAACAUAAGAAACCCCUAAACCCAUGAUAUAGACAUCAUUUAAAUAUGUUUUCAAUUAAGAGCACCUUGGCUGGAAACUGGGGCAAGCCAUUGCUAAGGACGGCUAGAACGAAUGCAUUGCAACACCCUCUAAAUUGUAUACGGUUUAACUGUAUAGAGUUGAAUGUGUGUACAUUCAACAUGUGCACUCACUGAACUUCUUAGGAUUAAGUGACAGACAGUAGGUCAACAAUUUCACGACUAACCAUAUUAGCACAGGAUAAUUGGUCUUAAAUUGUAGUAUUUUGAUUAAAUUAACCUUUGUGAUGUUCCGGUUUCAUUAAGGGCAUGCUGUUCCAGUGUUUGGCCAAGAUGAGGCGCUACAUGAAGUUGGAAUGUGGUGUGCACGCACACAGAACUCGACACUAGAACGUACAUACAGUGUAGAUUGCAUUGACGUUAUGAAAUGGCUAUAUUUUUUAUACCUGAAACCCAAAGGAAUACAUUUAUAAGCGUGUGUACGAGGGGCUGGCGAAAAGGAAUGGAACGCAGUCCGAGAAGAACUUCUUCGUUUUGUUUUAUUGAAAGACCGAUGAUAGUUAAUAUUAUUUAUCAAAUUACUUCAGAAACACGAUACAUCUGUGAUUUUUCUAGUGAGGAGCAUUACUACAUGGCUCCUGUGGUUCCUGCUGGCUUGCAAUUCCUUCAUUGCAAUAACACUGAUUUAAGACCCUACUAAGAUGGCAGCAGGUUGGUUACAUU